GGGGCCUUUGACCUUUUUUCUCCAGCUCAAGAGGAGAGAGAAGCAACCCAGUGUGUAUCAGCCUCGUGAGGCAGGGGACCUUGCCUAGCCCACAUGGGCCCCAAGUUCUCCCCAGGAAGGGUGAGCUAGGGAUGAUGUUGCGGGUCCUCUUUAAACACCAUAAAGCAGCCAAGGAGGGCACGAACCCCGUUUGUUUUCCUUUAGUGGAGGAGAGUCUUUAACAAAUGCCCGUCGUGGAAGCACCCAUGAUAACUGAACAGGAGUCUGGAUGGAAGCACACUGAACAAAAGUGUAAUUGCUGGGGGCACCUUUGCAAACACAUCGCUGACUGAGGAAUCCUUAACAAAGGCAGCCUUACAAAAGCCAGUGUCAAACUGGAUCAAAAGAGUGAGAGCUGAGCCGCACUUUUAAUUCAAAAUGACUUUUUGACCAAAUUUUUUUUUAAUCAGCACAGAAAUUUCUGCGCAAAGGUCCGUUUUCAAGGAAAUUUUGCUGGUUGUUUGUCAAAAAACCAAAGCUGAAAAUUUUCAUCCUGUCUUAUGAAAAUUUUCAGUAAUGCGACCAAAAACCUGAAAAAUGUGGGAGAACAUUCUCAACACAAAGCAAUGUUUUCCCUAUGAAAAAGUCCAUGUAAACAAACCCACCCAUUUCCUGAGUAGCUCUAUUUAAAUAUUCUAUGGCGCAUGAAAAUGCCGAAUUUCAUUGUUGAUCCCAGUAACAACCAAUCUUAUUCCUCUUCCCGAGGACAAAACAAGCCUGCUUCAACAUUUCCAGUCGCUGCUGCUUGUGACCCAUGCGAGCGCAGGCCCAAUAUAAAGAGAAAGAUGUUUUUUUGGUUUUACCCUUGCUUAACUGGAAAGUGGCUCAAAUGAUUUUGCUCAUCUUUUUCAUAAAAUGUCAACUUUGGGCUGAGUCCAAGCAGGGGGAAUUUAAGCCUAAUGGAAUUUGUUUGAUAAAGUCUGAAAUGGGAACAGAAUGGAGGCUGUAUAGCCUCACUCCUGGAGAAAGCUACAAUAAAACACAGGCUAGGUUUUUCCGUCAAGUUGUGCUUGAAUUGUGAGGGACAAAAACAUUAGAACAAAAAGUGAAAAACCAUAACUUCCCCAAAAGGCUCCUAACUCAAAAAUGCCUUUUCCAAUUACCCUGGAACUCUCCACACCCCAAUGUGUCCGCUGGGCACAGAGCAUGCAGGGAAGUGUUAGAUGGAUGGAAAAGGAGGAGGAGGAGAGUUCAAGACUAGGCCAACAGGGAAAGUGGCUGACAAGGAGCCAGGCCUAGGAGUAGAGGGUUUGCCGGAGAAGAGCUGACUACUGGUCCAGGCUUGGAUAUUGCCAUGCUGCUUCCCCCAUUGUCCUACAGCAGAUGCUUCACCUGAUUCACUGCCCAGCAAUGUGAUGCUGCCCAUCGGGGAAUGACAGCUUCCCCCGCCCCGGAUACUUGAGUGAUGAUCAUGGUACCCAAACUGGGAAAGAGAGCUGGAGGGGGAAUUACAGGGCUCUUUGUGCUGAAACCACAGAUGGGAGCCAGGUUUGUGACCCUAGCUUUGCUGUGCAUUACUCACUGCCUGCAAACACUUUUACUGUGGCUUUAUUUCACCCUGGUAUUCAACAGCCUUAACCUUGAGACCGUCUUUGCUCUUCCUGCCUCGUUCUCUACACCCCUUCCUCCUACGGCAACAGAUGAGGCAGGGGGUCUACAGAGAGCUGCACAACCCUGAUUCACUCCUGGAGCAGGGUCAUCCUGUGCAAUGAAGGAGGCAGGGCUCCUGUGGAAAAAUAGUAUUUGAUCUUGCAAUUAAAGACUGUUGUCAUAAUGUAAACACACAUAAGGCCAAGUUAAGGUUCCACAGGCAACCUUCAGUCUGGUAUUUCCUACCUUUUGAGUGCUUGAUUUUGCAAUCUUACCAUUCUGACAACAUAGGUGGGUUUAUGUAUAUAUUUUAGGUUUUAAAAAAUCCAAACUGAAAAAACAGAAAUCCUAUCAUGUGGCACUCCAUUGAGCCCCAUGUGGGACAUCAGCAGGGUUGGAACCUUUAGAUGCAUCACACCUCUGCUCUCAGGCUAAUGGAGUGACUGAUGGCAAUAGAAAGCUGUUAUCUUCUGUGUGGGCCAGCACUAGAGUGAGACGGGACACACACUUUGCCAGUGGGUUUCAGAGCUAUUUGCUGGCACAGAGGAACCGUGAGA